GGGGGGGUGGAGCAAAGUGUGCAUGCUCUGCGCUGUGACAGGAGCAGGGGCACAGACACCGGUGCAUACUGGAGAGAAACUAAAGUAUUGAUCUCAUUACACUGGUAUUGAUCUAUAUCAGUAGGCUACUAUCGAUAUUUGGAUUGAUCCGCCCACCACUACAGCAGAUCACCUCUCUGUCAGAUCUCAUGGCUCCAUUUCUGCUCCUGUUGAUCCUUCUGACUGAAGCAGCUUCUGGCCACAGUGCAAGCGUUGGCUAAGGUGAGGAGGAUGACAUUGGCAGAAGCAGUAAGAGAGGUUGAACAGGGCCAGAUGGAGGAAAGUGAGAAGGAAGACAUGCUGAUGGAUAUAAGAAAUGACAUGGAGAGACGUGGACUUCUACGUUGAAUGUCAAUUAGCAAAGGCCAUGCUGUGGCAAUAAAAUAAAGGCAUUACUAAUCUGAAAACUGUUUUUAAGACUCUUUAGCCUCUCUGGGUUAAUUCUUGUCCAGUUUUGACAAGUUUAGGUAUUGUGGUUUUGGAUCUGGAC
ensembl:lncRNA